UUGUAGCUUAACGAAGCAGCGUGUCGCUAGGCUUUGUACGCCAGAUGGUAUCGUCCACCUCGACGUGCACUGUACCGGCAGAUGAUUGGAAAAUCUAGGGGUCAUGGACAAUUGAAAACUUCGCAAAAGCAGGCUUUUGCCAUGUGAUAAUGCGAUUUUGGGGAGAGUCCGGGAUCAUGGAUAAUUGUUGCAGCUUUACGCUGGUGCUAGCUUCUGCCGGACUUCUUACGCUUCACAAGCACGGCGAUGGACUCAGAGCAGCAAGCAGUGGUAUUCGACCGCACAUGGGACAACGCCUACCACGACGGUGAUUUUCUUCAAGCGAUAGCACCCAGUAUCGGACAUGUGAUGCCACCGACAGUACUGGCUAUAAAACCACGGAAACACUCUUGUAAUCUCAGUGGGCGCGGCGAAACCAGAGCGAAUGGUUUGUUAAGCAUGCCUCACAUUUGUUACAGGUUAGUUACCCCUGCUCGUUAAGAAGUGAUUAAAGAUGUAUUAUUGUUGUGCCGAGCGCACGCACUACCGUG